AUCACACCUUUGGACAUGUCUGCUUCAGCACAUUCAGCAACUAGCAGUUAAAAAUUUACGUAUCUACCCUGCCACAUUUCUGAAGACCUCUACAAGCACAAAGCUGGACUGUAUAACCUAACCUUAUAAGAUAUUGGAUCACUUCCUCAAGAUUCUUCUCUGUGAAAUGCAGAUGAAAACCAGAAGGCAAAAUUGGCUCUGUGGAACAUUUCAAUAAACUGGAAAUCAUUCUUGAGUACUUUCAUUGGUGACUGGAUAUACGUGAUUAGACAUGCACACAAUAGCAGCUUUGCCAGGUGUAGAAGGGUGAAACUGUAUAAUUAUAUUGAAAAUAAAAUUGUACAAAGGAAAGACAACUCAGGAAGUUGCAGUUUUGUCAUGUUUGGAGAAAACUUGCAUGCCUAAGUCAAACCAGCCUUCAGGCAACUUCAGACUUCUAUAGCUGACAGUUACACAGCAAAUCACUCACUGACCUUGGCAGUGCUUUAUGGGUUACACUAUAAUAUGCACACUUUCUUAAAUUGUAUCUCAAUCUGUUUGGCACAAGAAAUCUUCCUUCAUAGCACAGGGCUUGAAAUUUUAUUUCUAAAGCAGGGAAACUUGCUUGGCAGUGUUAUCCAGCUACUCACAUCUAAUAGAGCUGCACUGUAGAUGUGGUCAUGAAAUGGUUCUCUCUUAUCCUUCUCUGUUUGGAGAUCAAACUACCCAGAGGAGAAGCAUCCUUCUGCUGAUAUUUGAGCUCCCACCACUCUUCCCCUCCAGAGAAACCACAGCAAUAGACUGCAAGCAGAAACCUGCACGUAUUGAAAUUAUAUUGUCUAUUUCAAUUUGUACCCUCUUCCACCAGCACAGAUGAACUUCACCAACACUCGUGUACUUGCCUUUCAUUCUCUUCUCACCUACUUAGCCCUCAUGAUCCUCUGAAUUUCUCAAAUUUUCCUAAAUACCUCUAGCAUUCCUUCAACAAUUGUAAAUAACUAAACAUUCUACAUUAAGUUUUCAGAGAGAGAACACAU
rnacentral:lncRNA from 1 species